UACGUAGGGUGCAAGCGUUAAUCGGAAUUACUGGGCGUAAAGCGUGCGCAGGCGGUUUUGUAAGUCAGAUGUGAAAUCCCCCGGGCUUAACCUGGGACUGCGUUUGAAACUACAAGGCUAGAGUGUGACAGAGGGGGGUGGAAUUCCACGUGUAGCAGUGAAAUGCGUAGAGAUGUGGAGGAACACCGAUGGCGAAGGCAGCCCCCUGGGUUAACACUGACGCUCAGGCACGAAAGCGUGGGGAGCAAACAGG
rnacentral:rRNA from 1 species